GAUGAACGCUGGCGGCGUGCCUAAUACAUGCAGGUCGAGCGAACAGACGAGGAGCUUGCUCCUCUGACGUUAGCGGCGGACGGGUGAGUAACACGUGGAUAACCUACCUAUAAGACUGGGAUAACUUCGGGAAACCGGAGCUAAUACCGGAUAAUAUAUUGAACCGCAUGGUUCAAUAGUGAAAGACAGUUUUGCUGUCACUUAUAGAUGGAUCCGCGCCGCAUUAGCUAGUUGGUAAGGUAACGGCUUACCAAGGCAACGAUGCGUAGCCGACCUGAGAGGGUGAUCGGCCACACUGGAACUGAGACACGGUCCAGACUCCUACGGGAGGCAGCAGUAGGGAAUCUUCCGCAAUGGGCGAAAGCCUGACGGAGCAACGCCGCGUGAGUGAUGAAGGUCUUCGGAUCGUAAAACUCUGUUAUUAGGGAAGAACAAAUGUGUAAGUAACUAUGCACGUCUUGACGGUACCUAAUCAGAAAGCCACGGCUAACUACGUG
rnacentral:rRNA from 1 species